rnacentral:lncRNA from 1 species
AAUAUUCGAAGAGAACCAAAACUACUCGAUAAGGAUCUGAAAAGUAGUCGAAGGCUGCUACACUCGACUAGGAAGCACUCGGGGGCUUGUCGGGGAUAGAUCCCCAGUACCCGCAAGGAAGUAAGAAGACGGACUCCUACUAGGAUUUUCUCUAUAAUCCUCCUAGAACUCAUACCAUGUAAUCCUACUAGGACUCUUCCUUGUAAUCGGCUAGUAAUCCCGCCCCCUGGAGUAUAUAAAGAAGGGCAGGGUUCCUAGAUCGGUAAGCCAAGACCUCAUAGAACCACAACAGAGGAUCAAAUCCUCGACACCAAACAACACCUAAGCACAGGGCACAAUAUACAACACCCCAAACAGAACGUAGGGUAUUACUCUGGCGGUCCGAACCUGUAUAAAUCUGUGUCUUGUGUCUUCGCUUUUACCUUCGAGUUUCAGGUCCGACGAUCCCCCACCAACCAAUCUACUACCUCGGAAUACCCCUCGGUAGGUCGCCGAGUAUAAAACACCAACAAAUGUUG